UACGUAGGCAGCAAGCGUUGUUCGGAGUUACUGGGCGUAAAGGGUGCGUAGGCGGCUUGGUAAGUGUGGUGUGAAAUCUCCCGGCUCAACUGGGAGGGUGCGCUACAAACUGUCGGGCUAGAGCACGGUAGAGGCAGAUGGAAUUCCCGGUGUAGCGGUGGAAUGCGUAGAGAUCGGGAAGAACAUCAGUGGCGAAGGCGGCAUCCUGGACCGGCAUUGACGCUGAGGAGCGAAAGCCAGGGGAGCAAACGGG
rnacentral:rRNA from 1 species